rnacentral:rRNA from 1 species
GAUGAACGCUGGCGGCGUGCUUAACACAUGCAAGUCGAACGGAAAGGCCCUGCUCUUGUGGGGUGCUCGAGUGGCGAACGGGUGAGUAACACGUGAGUAAACUGCCCUUGACUUUGGGAUAUCUUCUGGGAACAGGGGCUAAUACCGGAGAGUAGAUCCUGCUGCAUGGUGUGGGUUGGAAAGAUUCGGCGGUUGGGGAUGGACUCGAGGCUUAUCAGCUUGUUGGUGGGGUAGUGGCUUACCAAGGCUUUGACGGGUAGCCGGCCUUGGAGGGUGUCCGGCCUCAUUAGUACUGCGGUAGGGCCCAGACUCCUACGGGAGGCAGCAGUGGAGAAUAUUGCGCAACGGCCGGAAGCCUGAUACAGCAACCUCGCGUGCGGGAUGCCGUCCUUCGGGUGUUGAACCGCUUUCUCCUGUGACGAAGCCUCCGUGACGGUACUGGGUAAAGAAGCACCGGCUAACUACGUG